rnacentral:rRNA from 1 species
UACCGGGGAGGCAGCAGUGGGGAAUAUUGCGCAAUGGGGGAAACCCUGAUGCAGCCAUGCCGCGUGUGUGAAGAAGGCCUUCGGGUUGUAAAGCACUUUCAGUAGGGAGGAAGGUAGUGUAGUUAACACCUGCAUAUUUGACGUUACCUACAGAAGAAGCACCGGCUAACUCCGUGCCAGCAGCCGCGGUAAUACGGAGGGUGCGAGCGUUAAUCGGAAUUACUGGGCGUAAAGCGCAUGCAGGCGGCCUGUUAAGUCAGAUGUGAAAGCCCGGGGCUUAACCUCGGAAUUGCAUUUGAAACUGGCAGGCUAGAGUCUUGUAGAGGGGGGUAGGAAUUUCAGGUGUAGCGGUGAAAUGCGUAGAGAUCUGAAGGAAUACCAGUGGCGAAGGCGGCCCCCUGGACAAAGACUGACGCUCAGAUGCGAAAGCGUGGGGAGCAAACAGGAUUAGAUACCCUGGUAG